GAUACUCCAGAUCAUCAGCAGACGUGCUUGAGAGGAUGUUGAAGAUCUUUCUGAAAUUUGGUGGGCUCACGAUACUCGUAGCUCACCUUCUCACUUCCCGAACUCCAGGCUGAAACCCUAAAGAACUCACUGCGCACACUUUUUCUUUCUUUUCUUUCUUUUUCUCUCAGAAGGAUAUUGACCUUCACCUUGCACACAAGGAUUCCUCAUGCC
rnacentral:lncRNA from 1 species